CUCUAAUCCUAUGGUUUUAGAAGCGUCCUUUGAGUUUCCAACUCCAUUUAGUGUCUUUCCUUCUUUCAUUUUUCUAUUUUUGCUCUCGAAAGGAAAGGAGCUUUAGUACCCUUUAUUUACUUUUCGUGUGGCUUUUGCGAGGUCGUCAGUUGCCAGGAAUUUAGCCUGCCCAGGUACUUUAGCCUGCCCAGGUACUUUCUUCUAUCAUCACUUUUUUGCUCACUUUUCUUUACCCCUAUCCAUUUACCAGUAUGAGCUCGGAUGAAUCUAGGUUACAUUCUUAGGAGAUCAAGUAAGAAGAGUCCAUCCCAGUAGUUCUCCUCCUGUAGAAAAUGAAACUGAACUUAUACUAAUUAGAAGUCUUACGGAUAAAAGUGAGGUAUCUAGUUAGGAAGAGAGAGGUAAGCCCAUCCUCAGAAGGAAAUUGGGAAUCCUCAAAAAUUAGGUUAAUUGUAACUUAGGAGAGAAUAGAAUCCUAGAACGGUAAAUAUAGCAUACUAAACUCAAUUGAAAUGAUAUUUCCCACCCCUUAAACCGAGCUAAUGAGCCUUCGAUCGAGUAUGUCGCGCUUAACUCAGCUAUACUAAACCCCUGACUCAGGUUACCAUUUUCCAAAGUCAUCCGUAAGUUCCUAUUGUCUUGGGGAAUAGCUCCAACAUAACUUUGUCCCAAUGGGUAGAGAAAUUUGCUUGUUGCCAUGCUGUUGUGGCAUAGGUUAAGCUUUUCUGAAUUAAUUAUAGACCAAUUUAAUUCAUUGUACCUUUUAUGGGAGAUAUGAUAGACUCAAGUUAGCACUAUGCCAGUGUAAAACCUAAGACUGGAGGUUCCUUAGUUUUAGAUACUCUAUCCUCUAUUAAGAAGUGGAAGUCUGAUUUCUUUUAUGUUAUUAAGAAGUGGCAGUUUCACUCAACUGAGAUGGAUAGAAAUAACGUCGUUCCUAUUUGUUGCCAUAAAUUGUGUAAGUGUGCCUCGAUUUAUCUUCCAAAAUUCUGAUGUGUUUUGACUUCUGACCACCUAUCUCUCUUCUAGCAAAUUAUGUUCCUCCUGAAAUAACCCUAUAAGUUAGGUGAAGAGAAAUAGUGAUUAGAGCUUUAACAAGGACGAAGAUUGUGUGGCUUCUUGAUAUCAGAUCCCAGCUACUUCCAAGCAGGAUUGUUUCUUCGUAAUUUCAUGCCUCAACCUUCAAGUAAGUUAUGGAAGUCUUUACCUUAGCCUUAUUAUGGUAUUUUCUUAUCCUUUAAAUAACUUUUUUAUAUUCAAAUUCGCCUGAUAAAUAUGUUAUUCUUUUGUAGGUCAAACCCCAAUAAUAUUGGGAUACAAAGCUUCUUAGGCAUCUAAGAAAUGUACAAUGAUAGAGCUCAAAAAGUCUCAAAAAAAGGUGAGAUCUCAUCGAAGGGAAGUAAGACACCUCUUUGGCUAAGAAAACCAAAUCCACUAUUUUAGCCAAGGUAUUUCGGCCUCUGACUGCUAUUCCUUACCUAUCUUCUCCCAUUGGUUCCCCUAUUAAAGAAGCUAUUACUACUGUCGCUUCAACACCUGCGACCUCAGGCAUUUCUUGUUCACAUUUUCCUUUCCCCAAUCUCCAGUACCCCGAUAUUGAAGCUAUGGUUGGAACUCACCCAGAGAUACUCCUAGAUUUCUUCAAGCACCAUCACUUUCCAAAGAUAUGAUCUCAUCUUUCCCUUUUACUAUUAGAGACUCAGCUAACCUACUAACAAGAAGCUGUAAUGAAAGAAAACAAAGGUUUUUGGAAGAGAUGUCUAUAGAUGAGGUAUGUAUUACUGCAAAGCUAUACAGUGAUCAUUCUGUUUUAUAUAUGAUGAAUGUGGCCAUGAAGAUGUGUUCCUCUUUUUCUUUUUUCUUUUUGAACUCUCUAUUGAAUAAUCAAAAUUGACUUGUUCAUAGGUCAAUGCUAAGAUUGAAAAAGUGGUUGCUUUGAGGAAUGAGGCCUUAGCUACUUUCUAGGUUGUUAAGGCUGACAAAGUCCAAAAGACAAAGGAGAAGAAAGAACAUGAGCAUAGACUUUGCACCUUGGAGGCCGAACUAAAGGCUAAGGUCGUUGUUAGGUCUAAGCUUGAGAAAGAGUUGGCAGCAACUAAGUUACAGAGUGAGGAGGCCAACAUUUGAGCUUACAAUGAAAAAUUGAAGGAUGAAGAGGAAUGAAAAAAUAUCAAUGAGGCAGAUGCUAGGACAAUCAAAGCCAUAGAGCUCUAGAAAGAGUUUCCAAAGUUCAACGCAUUGGCUCAGAAUGCUCACAUCGUCAGCUUGGUCGAGGUGAUAAUGCACAUUGAAAAAAUACGACUGUGUUUGCACUUCAUCAAAAGACAAAUAGUAGUCUUCAUGCCUUUUUGAUGUUUAUCUGUAAUACCUCUUUUAGUUAGGUUGAUCGAGAUAGGUCUUUUUAAUCUGGCCUCUCAAGCAUGGUCGACGUUCCUUUCUUAGAACAUAUUUACCCUUGACCUAGGUUGAUCAAAAUUGCAUGAUCUUACCUCAGCAUGGUCCUUCCGUACGACGCCCACUCCACCUGGGGUAAGAAAAUUCAUACAAUAAUGGUAAAUUGAAUUGGCUAUCUUUAAUUCAUGCAAUAUAAGCUUUCCAAGAUUGCAUUAUAACAAGACGAUAAGUCGACUACUACAAAAUCAGCAAUGGUCCUCCUCUUGUAGGGUACAUCUCCUAGUUCAACAGUUAGGACAAUCUGACCUCACAUUUCAAUGGGAUCUCUCGUAAAGACUUUCAAUUUAUAGAAGUGGGAUGUAAAUACCUUUCUGGAAUUCCCAUUUGUUCCAAAGUUUUAAAAUAUAAGAUAUUAACAAAAGUCUUAUAAUCUGCAAGAGUUAGAUAUAUGUUAAUUCUGGUGACGUGCAUGGUGAUUAUUAAGGUGUCAAUUUAGUUAUACAAUACUCCAUGAGAAUCUUCUUUUGAAAUCCCAAACCAUUUGGGACUCUACCUUAGUAUAAGGUUGAUCUUACAUUGUCCUACCUCUUAUUUCUACCAAAUAGAUGCAUCUCUGGCCUGCUCGCGAUGCUCACUUCUUAAACCUUUUGCACACUAAUUUUUACCUAUUAGCAUCCUGAUUUCAACAUUGGAAUGGGAAUUCCUUGCUUGUGAGCCUGGAAGAGCUGACUGUAAAUUCUCAUACUAGUAUUGAUGUGGUGGCUGAAGAGAUAUUUGGGUUGUUUUUGAUAAGUAUAUUUUUACACACUUUUUAGGCAUUUUAAUGAGCUAUUUAUUGAUGAAAUUGAGCGAAUUUUUAUUCAUAAUUGUGUAAUUGUGGUGUUUGUAGGUCAAAAUCCCAAAUUGGAGGAGAAAACGGCUAAAGGAAGAGAGGACCAAAAGUGCAAAAGUACUGAAAGUUUAGGGACCUAGGUUGCAAUAUUUUAUAUGGGCAUGAUUAAAAGAAAAGUCAAAAUUUGAGGACUAAAAUGUACAAUAUGAAAGUUGAGGGAUUGAAUGUGCAAUUACCAAAGGAUAGAGCUUCAAGAAGAGCAAAAUAGGGAAUUGGCACUGUGCUUUUGUCCAUUUGAUAGCAACGCCGUAGCCACGGCUAGGGUCCAUUUGGCUUUUUUUUUUUUUUUUUUAAAUUAAUUUAGGACCAUUUUGCAAUUAACAAAACACGAUUUUUGAGCCAUUUAAAAGGCAAAUUGAACCAUUUUUUCCCAUUCUUCAUCCAUUUCAAAACCCUAGCAUAGGGAGAAAAAGGGGACAAGCAAAAAAAGAGAGGAAAUAUCACACAAAGGGGAGGAAAAUAUUGGAGAAAUUAAAACCAAAACUAAGCAAGCUUCAAUGGUCCGACCAAGGGACAGGUUUAUUUCUAUAUAUUGUAAUUUACAUUAUAUUUUUCUCGACUUUUGUCAUGUAUUUCUUUAAUAUUUUCACUUUGAGCCUUUUAAACACAAUGGGCUAAAUAUUUUGGUAUUGGGAUGAAUGAGGAAGUUUGGCCAAACUAUAUUAAUUUCUAUGUUUACUUCUUAAUGUAUUAAUGCUUAUGCUCUUGUGUUCUUACCAUUAUUUUGACUGCAUUAUCCUUAUCGUCGCCAUUGUGUGAUAAUGUCAAAUGAUUUGUGUGAUUAUUGAGAAAUUCUUGCACAUUUUAAACUGAGAUGGUAGAAACUUUAUGCUCUUGUGGGAGAUAGAGAUAUACUCCCAACCCUAUAAACCCUUUGAGCUAUUUUCAUAGAUAUUUAAUGCUAUUGAUUGUGUUUAAUCGACAUAGAAAUAUAGUAGGUUCAACCAGUUGAUUAGAGUUAAAUUCACUUGAGAGAUGUAAUGAACUAAAAUAGGAAAAUUGGAUUUGACAAGAUAAGUUAGCAUUUUCUAGUAAUUUGUUUGUGAGAAAUUAAUUUAGUAACGGACAAGUGGAAUCAUAAAUCUCAACCCAAUUAAAAUCCAAAUUCUCAUUAUUGUUAUAAUUAUGUGUUUUUAAUCGAAAGCUUAAAGUCAUUUUCUUUUCAUUUUUAAUUUUAAAGAUUUUAAUUGUGUGUGUCUUUACCGUUAAUUUGAAUCAACUCUUGUAUAAUUGGAAUAAACACUUUUCAAGGGAUCAACUCAAAUUUAAAAAGUUCAUUUUAUUACUUGAACGCGACCGUGCACUUACGGUUUGCAUUUUUAGCGAAAAAGUGUUUGGCGUCGUUGUCGGGGUGUGUUUCAAUUCAAUUACAAUCUUUUGUUGAUUCUAAUUUUCACAAUUUUAUUUUUGUUCAUUUGUGCAGUUUUAAAAUAUUUAUCUUGAAGUUGACUUCUUAAUUUUGGUUUUCCUAGGUCUGCGAUAGUGCAUGCUUCGUUUGAGAAUUUUUUAUAUUUUGGAGCUUGAUUUGGAUAUUGAAAGGACUUUCCGAAGAAGGCGACGGGAACAAAGAAAAUUAAGAAGGAAACAACUGAUUAAGAUGGCAAACCAAGGGGUAAUGUGGAAUCCAAUGCUCAACAAGAAAAUAUUCAUUGAAGUGACAUCCUACUGGGUUUUGUUAACUAAGCGGCUAGGGCUCAAGAGCUUAUUGUAAAUGAGAAAGAUAUGAUAUUUGGGGACUUCAUGAACCCAUCUGUGGUAGAAAAUGAAUCAAGUAUUGUAUAACAUUCAUAUGGACAUCCA
rnacentral:lncRNA from 1 species